rnacentral:rRNA from 1 species
CACGCCGUAAACGAUGAACACUAGGUGUAGGUGAUGUGAAAGUCAUCUGUACCGAAGCCAACGCGUUAAGUGUUCCGCCUGGGGAGUACGGCCGCAAGGCUAAAACUCAAAGGAAUUGAC